GAGGCGGCCCUAGCGCCAUUUUGUGGGAGCGAAGCGGUAGCUGGGCUGCUCCUGGAUCCCUCGCUGCUUCGGUUUCCCUGUCGGGCUUCCUAGCAGCGGCCUAGCGGAAAGAGAAGAAAAGAUGUCCGAGUAUAUUCGGGUGACUGAAGAUGAGAAUGACGAGCCCAUUGAAAUACCAUCAGAAGACGACGGGACAGUGCUGCUGUCCACAGUUACAGCCCAGUUUCCUGGCGCCUGUGGGCUGCGCUACAGGAAUCCAGUGUCGCAGUGUAUGAGAGGUGUCCGGCUGGUGGAAGGAAUUCUGCAUGCCCCCGAUGCUGGCUGGGGGAACCUAGUGUAUGUUGUCAACUAUCCCAAAGAUAACAAAAGAAAAAUGGAUGAGACAGAUGCUUCAUCAGCAGUGAAAGUGAAAAGAGCUGUCCAGAAAACGUCUGAUUUAAUAGUGUUGGGUCUUCCAUGGAAAACGACUGAACAGGAUCUAAAAGAAUAUUUUAGUACCUUUGGAGAAGUUCUCAUGGUUCAGGUCAAGAAGGAUAUUAAAACUGGUCAUUCAAAGGGGUUUGGCUUUGUUCGUUUUACGGAAUAUGAAACCCAGGUUAAAGUAAUGUCACAGCGGCAUAUGAUAGACGGACGGUGGUGUGACUGUAAACUUCCUAAUUCUAAGCAAAGCCCAGAUGAGCCUCUGAGAAGCAGGAAGGUGUUCGUCGGGCGCUGCACGGAGGACAUGACCGCCGACGAGCUGCGCCAGUUCUUCUGCCAGUACGGGGAAGUGGUAGACGUCUUCAUUCCCAAACCAUUCAGGGCCUUUGCCUUUGUUACGUUUGCAGACGAUCAGGUUGCCCAGUCUCUUUGCGGAGAGGACUUGAUCAUUAAAGGAAUCAGCGUCCACAUAUCCAAUGCCGAACCUAAGCACAAUAGCAAUAGACAGUUAGAAAGAAGUGGAAGAUUCGGUGGUAAUCCAGGUGGCUUUGGGAAUCAGGGUGGGUUUGGUAACAGUAGAGGGGGUGGGGCUGGCCUGGGGAACAAUCAAGGAAGUAAUAUGGGCGGAGGGAUGAACUUUGGUGCUUUCAGCAUUAAUCCAGCGAUGAUGGCGGCGGCCCAGGCGGCGCUGCAGAGCAGCUGGGGCAUGAUGGGAAUGCUGGCCAGUCAGCAGAACCAGUCGGGCCCGUCAGGUAACAACCAAAGCCAAGGCAACAUGCAGCGGGAGCCAAAUCAGGCCUUUGGUUCUGGAAAUAACUCCUAUAGCGGUUCUAAUUCAGGUGCAGCCAUUGGUUGGGGAUCCGCAUCGAAUGCAGGGUCAGGCAGCGGCUUUAAUGGAGGCUUUGGCUCAAGCAUGGAUUCUAAGUCUUCUGGCUGGGGGAUGUAGAGAGUGGGCGUGGUAGAGACUGGUGGGAAUUCAAAUUUUUCUAAACACAUGGUAAGUAUAUUGUAAGAUACAUAUGUACUAAGAAUUUUCAAAAUUGGUUUGUUCAGUGUGGAGUAUAUUCAGCAGUAUUUUUGACAUUUUUCUUUAGAAAAAGAGGAAAAGCUAAAGGAAUUUUAUAAGUUUUGUUACAUAAAGGGUUGGAAUAUUGAGUGUUUGAAAGUGAACUGCUGUUUGCCUGAUGGGUAAAAACCAACACACUACAAUUGAUAUCAAAAGGUUUCUCCUGUACUCUCUUAUCCCUGGACUUGUCAAGUGAAUUCUUUGCAUGUUCAAAUGGAAACCAUUGGUUAGGACUACAUUCUUUUCUCCUUGUUUUAAUUUGAACCCCACCAUAUGGAUUUUUCCCUUAGGAAAAUCUCCUUCUUGGAGAUGAUGGUGUCACAGUGUUUGGUUCUUUUUGUUUUUGUUUUUUUAACACUUGUCUCCCUUCACAUGCAAAAGUACAAUAUGAAGCCUUCAUUUAAUCUCUGCAGUUCAUCUCAUUUCAAAUGUUUAUGGAAGAAGCACUUCAUUGAAAGUAGUGCUGUAAAUGUUCUGCCAUAGGAAUGCUUCUGCCUGCACGCUUUCUCACUCAAGAACUCGUCAGCACGCUGCACAGGCUGCGUCUUUGACGCCCUGAAUGCAAAGAAUUCAUAGCAGUUAAUUCCCCUUUUUUGACCCUUUUGAGAUGGAACUUUCAUAAAGUUUCUUGGCAGUAGUUUAUUUUGCUUCAAAUAAACUUAUUUGAAAAGUUGUCUCAAGUCAGAUGGAUUCCUCACCUGUCAUGCAUUGACACCUGAUACCCAGACUUAAUUGCUAUUUGUUCUUGCAUUGUCCAAAGUGAAAGUUUUUUGUUUUUUUUGUUUUUUCUUUUUAAAUCUAGUUUUUAAUAAGUCUGGGUGACCGCACCUAAAAUGGUAAGCAGCGCCCUCCGGCUUUUUACUAGUGCCUCUGUGCGUUUGGGUGAUGUUCUAUUUACAUGGCCUGUAUAAAUCUCCAUUGGGACUCUUGCCUUCUAAAAAUAUUCUUAUUUGGGGGAGUGGGAAGAACUCUGUUAAUUAUUUUCAAAUGCUUUGUAGCAAAGCAUAGCAGUCGAAAAGAAGGGCAUAUCAGCACCUUCCUAGCUUGGGAUUUGAAAAGUGGAAUUAAUUGCAGUAGGGAUAAAGUAGAAGAAACCACAAAUUAUCUUGUGCCUGAAAUCCAUUACAGAGCCUGAUAGCUUUAAGAACUAGCAGGGUGGGUUGUCUGUCUGGAAGUGUUAAGUGAAAUGGGCUUUGUCCCCCACAAGUGGGGGACUAGAGGAACGUUGAAUAAAAUCGUUUACAAACUCAGAUUAGACUCUCCCGGUGCAUUGUGAAGUAUGUAAAAGCAAUAAUUGCCGAUUCUCUGUUGUACUUUUUAUGUAACUGCUGCGAGAGUCGAGCUUGUUUUCUGAUGGAAGAAUGUGAACGGUUCCGUGUUGGUAGUUUUACCUGAGGCCCUUACCGGCUUAGAUGAUGAUAAAUGGGUUUGUCAUUUUGCACGUUGCGUGUUUGAAACUUUUAGAAAUGAAGUCGUCCUUUAGACUUGUGAUCGCCACGUUGUUUCGUUAUUCAGUUUCCUCUGUAAAAGGAUCUUGCGUUGUUUGAAUUUUUUUUUCUGCAUCUAAAUUGCAUGAUUUCCAAACCCUGUACCAUCUGAAUUUUGCAUUUUAGCACUUGCACUAUUACUCAGCAGCAGUAACAUGGUAACCCUUAAAAUGGUAUUCGGGGACCUCCAAAGACUAAACUGACAAGCCUCCAAGGAGCCCAGGGGUAAGUUCACUUGUCAAUGGCAUGGUUUUAAUCCCUUAUUUACACUUGUUGUAAACCUAGUUACCAGUCUUAGAAGGCUUUCAGUGUGGAGCAGCCUUCUGUUAACAUGUUUGUGGUACCAGUAGCUGUGGGUAUUUAAUUCUACCCUAGAAACAAGAGAAACAAAGAAAAUGAAGUCUAGAAGUAAACUAUUUGGCAAAGAUUUGUUUUGAAAAGUCUAUUUGGUCAUCUCAAUGCAUUCAUUCUCAAAACUUUUUGAACCAGUUGAAUAAAAAAUUUGUUGUCACCACA